rnacentral:rRNA from 1 species
UCGAGGGGCAUCGGGAGGGAAGCUUGCUUUCCUUGCCGGCGACCGGCGCACGGGUGAGUAACACGUAUGCAACCUGCCCUCUUCAGGGGGACAACCUUCCGAAAGGGAGGCUAAUCCCGCGUAUAUCGGUUUCGGGCAUCCGAGAUCGAGGAAAGAUUCAUCGGAAGAGGAUGGGCAUGCGGCGCAUUAGCUAGACGGCGGGGUAACGGCCCACCGUGGCGACGAUGCGUAGGGGUUCUGAGAGGAAGGUCCCCCACACUGGUACUGAGACACGGACCAGACUCCUACGGGAGGCAGCAGUGAGGAAUAUUGGUCAAUGGGAGAGAUCCUGAACCAGCCAAGCCGCGUGAGGGAAGACGGCCCUAUGGGUUGUAAACCUCUUUUGUCGGAGAACAAAACCCGGGACGAGUCCCGGACUGCGUGUAUCCGAAGAAAAAGCAUCGGCUAACUCCGUGCCAGCAGCCGCGGUAAUACGGAGGAUGCGAGCGUUAUCCGGAUUUAUUGGGUUUAAAGGGUGCGUAGGCGGUCCGUUAAGUCAGCGGUAAAAUUGCGGGGCUCAACCCCGUCGAGCCGUUGAAACUGGCAGACUUGAGUUGGCGAGAAGUACGCGGAAUGCGCGGUGUAGCGGUGAAAUGCAUAGAUAUCGCGCAGAACUCCGAUUGCGAAGGCAGCGUACCGGCGCCAGACUGACGCUGAGGCACGAAAGCGUGGGGAUCGAACAGGAUUAGAUACCCUGGUAGUCCGCGCGGUAAACGAUGGAUGCCCGCUGUCGGCGAUAUACAGUCGGCGGCCAAGCGAAAGCGUUAAGCAUCCCA